CGUCAGUAGUUAUCGCUGGCGACUCUCUAAGUGCCCAAUAUAGGAGGAAAAGAUAAACUUGGAAGGACCUACCUAACAAUAUUUCCUUGGAUGGUCAUCGCAAAGAUUUGGCAAAAUGCAACGACCAGUCUCACCAACUCCUAUGUACGUAGUUCUAACGGAUUGGGUCCUAAAAUGAAAAUGCAUAUAGCUCUUAGUAUCCAGCCUACGGCUCCCAGCUGCCAGGAGACGCCGGCCCACUAGCCCUAGUAUACUUUGUUCAUAAACUACCAGGCCUGCUAGCCAUGAUCGGGCUGUUCGGAUUCAGCUCAAUGAAGAAAUUAGGUGAUCCAUCAUCCCUUUCUUCUUCCUCUUCUGCUUCUUCCCUUUGGCGUCUCGACCCGUUAGUUGAGGUAGUUAAAGGUAAGGCAGGGGUGGGGUGCUGUUUGGAAGUGGCCCCAGAUCUAGAGACCCCCAAAGACAGGGAAAAUCCCGCUAUCUGGCCUUGCAGCUGUCAUAGGUAAUGCAGGGGUACUCGGCAUCGGCGGUGUCCCAUUCCCGCCCAAACCCACGGCACCAACGUUAGAUGGUGGGGCGAGGAAGAUUAGCCCAGAAAAGAAGGAACGCAUCGUCUUGAUAGAUUUGAUGCUGACCCCUCUCCGCAAAGUUGGGGAGGAUGUACUGUUAGGUGCAUGUGGGAGAGCGUCGACUGACGUGGAUGGAUUGAGGAUGAGAGAAGAGGUAUUGAACGCUGUCUGUUGAGGAGAGCUGAGCGCAGACAUGCCCUCCAGGAAAGACGAAUUCACUCGAUACGACGAUGGUACAGCAUCCCUCGUAGGCCAUAACCUCGCUACAGACCUCGAGGCUGGUACAGCUCGAGCUUGGAUGCCCGAUAAUCCUAGUGAAGAAGGUGUGGAAAUACUUGAUGCUGGAGAUUGUGGGACGGUCCUGGUACCGCUACCGGUACCGGUACUCUUUCCAGAUCCAGACGGGGGAGAAGUUACACCCGAGAAUGGGGGUGGGCUGACCGGGGGCUGGUGGUCACCCAACGCAAUCUCGUCAAACCCUUCAUCCCUUUCCCUAUCCCUAUCUCUUCUCGACUCUCCAGCAGACCAACUCUCCACAGACGCCCCACUUCCCCUACCCAUGUUGGUACCCUGACUUCCAUCUCCAAUCAGCCCUUCUACUCCCUCUCUACUCGAUAUCGGCGAGAUAUUCCAUGCCUGCUGCUGCCCCCGCGCUAACAACCACCCUGUCGCACUCGGGUUCGCUCCUGUCACUAACGGUAGGCGCGGUGUACUUGACCUGCUUGAGCUUGAGCUGGUUGACCCUAUUCUUCCGCCAGCCGAAGAUAGUGGGAAGGCCAUCCCCCUAUAGGCCAGGACCUCUGAUUGCCCCGAGCCGGAAAUUGAAGAGUUGGCGAUGUUGAUAGGAGGAGGUUCGAUAGGUCCUCGGUACGGGACAUAAUCCGGAUACUCUGGUGGUGGACUCCUACCCAUACCCGUCCCAAUCCCAAUCCCGCUUCCGCUGCCACUCCCACUACAAGUGGUGAGGCUCACCCUCUUAUCCCUAGCAAAAGACAUUGGGGUCGGCGCGGCCGAACUCGCAAUCAGACUAUCACCCUGUGUACUUGUCCUGUUCACCAUUUUCCGCCACAAAUCGACUUCGCUCUCACUGCCUUGCGACAUGUAGUAUUUGUUGUCGUACCCCUUGGAACAGGCGUAUCGGGGUUGGACAUUCCUUUGGCGGACAGGUAGGCGGUGCCGGACGUACAGGAUGUAAGCGAUAGCUAUCAAAAUAAGGAGGAAGGCAGACGUGCCCCCUAUUAUACCGAUAAUGAGGACAAGAUGUGACGUUCUGCGCAUUCAAUUAAUCAGUCGCAAACACCUGUUGUAAAUUAGAAGAGAAAGACUGGAGACGGGCGUACGAGGAAGAAGCUUUUACAGUUAAAAGGACAUAAUCAAUCACAAGCUGCCCACCCGGGGAAGUAUUUGUGAUCGUAAGCGUGUGGUUGGAUCCACUGAAUCCACUACCAAAGUAAAGUAAGGAUGAAUAGGAAUCCCAGGGCAUCUACGGUAAUCGGCAUUCUCUUGUCAGCAUAUUCUACCAACACAUGACUAGGUAAAAAGAAAAGUGUGGGAGAGAUGUAUGAAAACUCACAACCAUAUUCAAUUGCCCUUGCAAAAUCCCAUCCAACCAU
rnacentral:sRNA from 1 species